rnacentral:lncRNA from 1 species
CUUCUAUUGUUAAUAGCUCUCAUUCUAUUAAAUAAAUGCUUAUUUAUGUUUGUUUGAGGAGGUGUAUCCUUGGUAGAUAGAAGGAACACUAGAUUUAGAGCCAGAAAGGUUAGAGUUCUUGACUUUAAUGCUCGUUAGAUGUGUUUUUUGUUUGUUUGUUUCUUUGUUUUAGGCAAGUCCUUUAGCUUCUCUGGACCUGGUUUGAGCUUGACAAUCAUAUAUUUGGGAUGUCGUAGAUGUCAGGAUGUCCAGGAUCCAUGCCUUCCCAGUCUCCUGGGUGUCCAUUAUCUGCAAGCGCUCUGCUUCCUCUUUUCAUGAUAGAAAGAAAAUUUGCUCGCUCCAAGAAUCCAGAUGGAAAUGCCUGUGGAGACUACAUGGAGACUCCACAUGACUCCUGAGAGAAAACCCAGAUGCACAAAAAUUGAACUUUUGGGGGGUUUAAAAAUUUGUUACACAUAUAUUGUUGUGAAAAAGGGGACUUCCCCCUGAUUUGUUUGUAAAAAAGUGUCAAGUUUAAAAUUUUCUUUUGUUGUAAAAAUUGUUGCCAUUUCCCCCUUGCAUUGAUGUAUAUACCCUUUAUUUUAUUGUGAUUAUAAAUGCUGGUCUCCCAAAGGAUCACAGGGGUGGAUGGGCAUUUUAAGAUGGCUCUGAACCCUGGGAGUCUACAUCUCCCAGGACCCUCUAUCUCAACUUCCUCAGACACAUCCUACUUCCUUUGUGGGAGGUGUCUGAAAAGACAUAAAAGAAGAAAGAAGCACAGAUUUUGGCUCCUUUUCUGCAGAAGCCCUUUCUGGAGAAUAAGAGGAGAGCCUUUUGCCCUUGCAUAGCUGCUGGAGUUCUAAUUUUCUCUAGCCUUUCCAAACCUUUCUUUUCCUAGCCAAAUAAAGUAUUUAACUAUCUCUAGAGUCUGGCUUGA